GUUGCCUCCACUCCUCCAGCCCUUAGCCCAGGGCUGAUGUCAUCUGCAGCAAAUCAUUUCGCCGGCGGCCCGGAAGCUGGAAGGACGAGAUUGUUGGAUGAAAGAUGCAAGAAGUCAAUGAGAUGACUCAGGAGGAAAAAGAACUUGCUGCCAAGCCUGGGGACCUACUAAGUUCCAUCCCAGGACCCACACAAUGAGAGGAGAGAACAGACUAUCAUAAAUCGUCCUGUGACCUCCAUGCACACUGGUUAAUUAAUUUUAAUAAGUGCAAUAGAAGAAAGAGCUUCUUCAUGGUGGCCCUCUGUCCAAGAAAGCCAUGACCAGGAUCCACCCCAUUCUUUGCCCACCCUUUGCAAUCCAGGGAUAUUAUGGCAGAACACAGACUAGCGAUGGCUACUUUACACGCAGUCAACUAACUUGGCUCUUUUGAAUGUCCAGUCCCUUUGUUGCAGAAGUGGGAAGAACUGGAUCUUUGUGACUAUGUGAGGGAAGAGUACAGGGAAGAGACUUCAGAAGCUUGUAACCCAGGGUCGGGAUCAGCCUAAGCAUCAAGGCAUGGCUGAUUAGAUGAUACCCCACCCCCAUUUCCUUAGACAACGGAGUAAAGGUAGCCUUACAAAAUAUGUACAGGUGACCCCUCUACCAACACCUCUGGGAGAAAAGUUAAAAGAAAACCCAACAUGGUCAGCCACUCUUCUAAGUUAGAAAAGUUCCCCACUCCCAAGACAAAGGAGACAAUUAUAAAGAGAAAAUGCACCCCACAAGGAAGCCUGCCUGUAUCACCAGCUUUUAGUGACUACACUUGAGUGUCCCAAAGGCUCUGCAAACUCAAUCGGCUCCAGGCUGGAAUCAUCUUCAUCCUCUAGCGCUGAUCUCGCAUAUCUGUUUCAUUGAACGGUAACACAUCUAUCCCACACCGCAAGGUAGAAACCGUGCCGACAUCUGGGACCCUUCCCUGGACCUGGCUUCAAGUGCAGUCAGCGCCACAUGGAGCCUGCUCUCUACAGAUAUGUGAAGCUUGACCUCAUUUUCGAAACUCCUGCACAGGAAGCCACAGUCUGAUUCGUCCGCCGUUCAUUCACUCGCUCUUCCCCAUCUGCAGACCUUCAGCAGAUCUCUGCGUUCUUCAAACUGAUGUGGCAAUGGCCGUGUGUCUAUGUGUGUUCAGCUCUCUGGGCACAGACGGCUGGAGUAGAGCAGAUAGGCUACGUGUACUACCUUAUUUUAACACGAGCUGCCUCCUCCUGUCAAGAGACCUCAAGGGAAGUCAACUGCUGAGUUCCUGCCACAUCACCACCUCUUCUUCCGAACUCCCAGGGUUUUCCUCGUAACAGAUACAUAUUUUUAUUUAAAAAAUCAAGUUUUUAUUUGCCCCCACCCAUUAAUC